AACCUACCUAUAAGACUGGAAUAACUCCGGGAAACCGGGGCUAAUGCCGGAUAACAUAUAGAACCGCAUGGUUCUAUAGUGAAAGAUGGUUUUGCUAUCACUUAUAGAUGGACCCGCGCCGUAUUAGCUAGUUGGUAAGGUAAUGGCUUACCAAGGCGACGAUACGUAGCCGACCUGAGAGGGUGAUCGGCCACACUGGAACUGAGACACGGUCCAGACUCCUACGGGAGGCAGCAGUAGGGAAUCUUCCGCAAUGGGCGAAAGCCUGACGGAGCAACGCCGCGUGAGUGAUGAAGGGUUUCGGCUCGUAAAACUCUGUUAUUAGGGAAGAACAUAUGUGUAAGUAACUGUGCACAUCUUGACGGUACCUAAUCAGAAAGCCACGGCUAACUACGUGCCAG
rnacentral:rRNA from 1 species